rnacentral:tRNA from 1 species
GUUAGAGUGGCAGAGCCCGGUAAUUGCAAAAGGCCUAAGCCCUUUUAACAGAGGUUCAAGUCCUCUCCCUAACU